UACGUAGGGGGGCAAGCGUUGUCCGGAAAUUAUUGGGCGUAAAGCGCGCGCAGGCGGUCUGUUAAGUCAGGUGUUUAAGCCCGGGGCUCAACCCCGGUACGCACUUGAAACUGGCGGGCUUGAGUGCAGAAGAGGAGAGUGGAAUUCCACGUGUAGCGGUGAAAUGCGUAGAGAUGUGGAGGAACACCAGUGGCGAAGGCGACUCUCUGGUCUGUAACUGACGCUGAGGCGCGAAAGCGUGGGUAGCAAACAGG
rnacentral:rRNA from 1 species